rnacentral:rRNA from 1 species
CGGAAAAGUCGGCAGCUAACACAUGCAGUCGAACGGUAACAGGAAGCAGCUUGCUUGCUUCGCUGACGAGUGGCGGACGGGUGAGUAAUGUCUGGGAAACUGCCUGAUGGAGGGGGAUAACUACUGGAAACGGUAGCUAAUACCGCAUAACGUCGCAAGACCAAAGAGGGGGACCUUCGGGCCUCUUGCCAUCGGAUGUGCCCAGAUGGGAUUAGCUAGUAGGUGGGGUAACGGCUCACCUAGGCGACGAUCCCUAGCUGGUCUGAGAGGAUGACCAGCCACACUGGAACUGAGACACGGUCCAGACUCCUACGGGAGGCAGCAGUGGGGAAUAUUGCACAAUGGGCGCAAGCCUGAUGCAGCCAUGCCGCGUGUAUGAAGAAGGCCUUCGGGUUGUAAAGUACUUUCAGCGGGGAGGAAGGGAGUAAAGUUAAUACCUUUGCUCAUUGACGUUACCCGCAGAAGAAGCACCGGCUAACUCCGUGCCAGCAGCCGCGGUAAUACGGAGGGUGCAAGCGUUAAUCGGAAUUACUGGGCGUAAAGCGCACGCAGGCGGUUUGUUAAGUCAGAUGUGAAAUCCCCGGGCUCAACCUGGGAACUGCAUCUGAUACUGGCAAGCUUGAGUCUCGUAGAGGGGGGUAGAAUUCCAGGUGUUAGCGGUGAAAUGCGUAGAGAUCUGGAGGAAUACCGGUGGCGAAGGCGGCCCCCUGGACGAAGACUGACGCUCAGGUGCGAAAAGCGUGGGGAGCCAACAGGAUUAGAUACCCUGGGUGUCCACGCCGUAACGAUGUCGACUUGGAGGU